rnacentral:rRNA from 1 species
UACAGAGGUCUCAAGCGUUGUUCGGAUUCAUUGGGCGUAAAGGGUGCGUAGGUGGCGCGCUAAGUCAGGUGUGAAAUCUCGGGGCUUAACUCCGAAACUGCAUUUGAUACUGGCGUGCUUGAGGACUGGAGAGGAGACUGGAAUUCAUGGUGUAGCAGUGAAAUGCGUAGAGAUCAUGAGGAAGACCAGUGGCGAAGGCGGGUCUCUGGACAGUUCCUGACACUGAGGUACGAAGGCCAGGGGAGCAAACGGG